UAGUACUGUAUGGGAGAUAUGUUAGAGUUAAAGAAAUUUUUAAUAAUUGUACCUUUUGUAUCAGGAGUUAUUUAAUUAGUAAUAUUUUAUUUUCGAACUCAGUUGAGUUAGGUUUAAAUAAAUAUUUAUGUAGAAUAAUGUUGUUAAGUUAAAUUUAGUGAAGAUAUUUUUACGGAUCUGGUAAUAUCUGGCUAUUAGAGAAAAUUUUAGAUUUGUCUUAGUUAAAGUUUAUAAUUGAAGGUUGGUCUUUUAUUUAAGAUACACUAAAUACAAUAAAUUAUGAAUUAGGCUUUAGACUAGCUAGUUUUAUAUAGUGUUUUAAGGAAGUUGUAGAGUAAAAGAGUAAAUGUUAUAUAUGAAAUUUAUAUAGUAAAUUUUUAAUUACUAUAAAGUUACUGAUAAUAUAAGUAUAUAGGUAAGGUAUCAAAAAAGAAUUCGGCAAUUUUUUAUUGAAUGUUUAACAAAAACAUUUCUUUAGGAUUUUAAGGUAGGUCCUGCCCGGUGAGUUAUUUAACGGCUGCGGUAUUUUGACUGUGCUAAGGUAGCAUAAUCAUUUGCUUUUUAAUUGAAGGCUGGUAUGAAUGGUUGUACAAUAAAGGUCUGUUUUCUGAUAUUAGUAUAAUUUGUAUUUUAAGUAAGAAUACUUAAGUACUAUAAGGGGACGAUAAGACCCUAAAAGCUUUAAUUUGUGUGGAUUAAUUAAUAAUAAUUUAAAUAAUGUUGGCUGGGGUAGUAGUUAUAUUAAAAUUAUAAUUAGAAUAUAUCUUGGAGAAGUAAGAUCCUUUAGAUAAGGAUAGUUAGAUUUAGUUACUUUAGGGAUAACAGCGUAAUAGUUUUGGAGAGAUCUUAUCGAUAUAAUUGUUUACGACCUCGAUGUUGAAUUAAGAUUUUUUAUAGUGCAGAAGAUAUAAUGAAGGGUUUGUUCAACCUAUAGUGUCUUACAUGAUUUGAGUUCAGACCGGUUUAAGCCAGGUUGGUUUCUAUCUUUUAUAAAAUUAUGGGUUAGUUUAGUACGAAAGGGCCAACUAAUAGUUUA
rnacentral:rRNA from 1 species